ensembl:rRNA 5S_rRNA 5S ribosomal RNA
GGCCACAGCCAUGUCACCCUGCAGCCCGUGACCAGUUACUUACUGAAGCUAAGCAGGGCUGAGCCUGGUCAGUACCUGGAUGGGAGAUCACAUGAGAAAACUAGGUUGCCCUGGAAG